AGGCGGAAACGUGUCAGAAGAUGAAUUGGAUAACCGACACGUACACUGCCACUUCCCAACAACUUGCCUUGGAACAGCAGGUGAAGAAUCAACGAUGGAGGUAGAGGAGAAAUACACACAUACACAUUACUCCAUUCGCCAGCCCUAACCAAUUUUUCAUUUUCUUGGAGCCAAGCGAUUUUCUCGAGAAACGCUGAGGAAAAUGGCCGGAAACGGCGACGAAGAGGGCUUGCCCAGAGCUGCUUCUUCUACUUCCGGCGCUGCCGCCAGAGUCAGAGCCAGAGGCGACCCUCUCUUGAUCGUCUGCCGAUGCUUCAGCUUCAUCACGGCCUUGACUGCCAUUCUCUGCAUUUGCGUCAAUGUCCUCUCCGCCGUCCGAUCCUUCAAGGACGGAUCUGAUGUUUUCGAUGGGAUUUUUCGGUGUUAUGCUGUUGUGAUUGCGUUAUUUGUGGUUGUUGCUGAGACGGAGUGGGGAUUCAUCAUGAAGUUCUGGAAGAUGUUGGAGUAUUGGGCUGGCAGGGGAAUGCUGCAGAUUUUUGUUGCAGUGAUGACAAGAGCUUUUCCUAAUGAAUCUAGUAAGCAGAAGGAUCUCGUUCUUCUUCAAAACAUAGCUAGCUAUAUGCUCCUUGCCUGUGGUUUAAUCUAUGUUAUUUCGGGAAUCCUGUGCAUUGGCUUUCUCAAACGAGCUCGCCAAAAGAAAGAAGUUUCGAGGGAGCAAGCAAUUAAGGAUUUAGAGGAAUUGGAGCAGCGAAGGGAAGAACUUGAAGCAUUGCUUAUCAUGGAAAGAGCUUAGGCAAUUUGUAUGGCUAGCGGAAUCAAGAAUGAAGGAGAAUCCAUCCUGUAUGAAUCCAAUGUUUGUAUGCUUUUUGUUUGAUUCAGUAGUUGGGCGGCUGCUUUUUCGGAAUUAAACCCUUGGUUAAGAACAAACAUUUGCAAAUGUUGUCAACUGUGAAGAAAAACCAAUCUCUAUGGCCGUAAUUGCAUGUGUGAUUUUGAAAUAUCGGAUUAUGUGGGGAAGAUCACAAUGGCGAUGCUUCCACAACAAUGUGGGUGGGUUGGGGGUUGACUGCAUUUGGGAAAGAGAGGAGUUCAUCGCAGAAAGGAGGAAGCUUUUGCAAUGAGUAAGUGCUUUAAAACAACCUUGCGUUUAGUUAAUUGUAUGGAAGCAGCAACUUUUCUCAACUAAAGGAAACCUAAUUGUUCAAUG